GAAAUGCGAUAAGUAGUGUGAAUUGCAGAAUUCAGUGAAUCAUCGAAUCUUUGAACGCACAUUGCGCCCCUCGGUAUUCCGUGGGGCAUGCCUGUUCGAGCGUCAUCUACACCCUCAAGCUCUGCUUGGUGUUGGGCGUCUGUCCCGCCUCCUUCGCGCGCGGACUCGCCCCAAAUCCAUUGGCGGCGGCCCUUGCCUCCCUCUCGCGCAGCACAUUGCGCUUCUCGAGGCGCGGGGACCGCGUCCAGCAAGCAACCGUCACACCGUCUUUGACCUCGGAUCAGGUAGGGAUACCCGCUGAACUUAAGC
rnacentral:misc_RNA from 1 species